GCAAGUCGAGCGAACAGAUAAGGAGCUUGCUCCUUUGACGUUAGCGGCGGACGGGUGAGUAACACGUGGAUAACCUACCUAUAAGACUGGGAUAACUUCGGGAAACCGGAGCUAAUACCGGAUAACAUAUUGAACCGCAUGGUUCAAUAGUGAAAGGCGGCUUUGCUGUCACUUAUAGAUGGAUCCGCGCCGUAUUAGCUAGUUGGUAAGGUAACGGCUUACCAAGGCAACGAUACGUAGCCGACCUGAGAGGGUGAUCGGCCACACUGGAACUGAGACACGGUCCAGACUCCUACGGGAGGCAGCAGUAGGGAAUCUUCCGCAAUGGGCGAAAGCCUGACGGAGCAACGCCGCGUGAGUGAUGAAGGUCUUCGGAUCGUAAAACUCUGUUAUCAGGGAAGAACAAAUGUGUAAGUAACUGUGCACAUCUUGACGGUACCUGAUCAGAAAGCCACGGCUAACUACGUGCCAGCAGCCGCGGUAAUACGUAGGUGGCAAGCGUUAUCCGGAAUUAUUGGGCGUAAAGCGCGCGUAGGCGGUUUUUUAAGUCUGAUGUGAAAGCCCACGGCUCAACCGUGGAGGGUCAUUGGAAACUGGAAAACUUGAGUGCAGAAGAGGAAAGUGGAAUUCCAUGUGUAGCGGUGAAAUGCGCAGAGAUAUGGAGGAACACCAGUGGCGAAGGCGACUUUCUGGUCUGUAACUGACGCUGAUGUGCGAAAGCGUGGGGAUCAAACAGGAUUAGAUACCCUGGUAGUCCACGCCGUAAACGAUGAGUGCUAAGUGUUAGGGGGGUUUCCGCCCCUUAGUGCUGCAGCUAACGCAUUAAGCACUCCGCCUGGGGGAGUACGACCGCCAGGUUGAAACUCAAAGGAAUUGACGGGGGACCCGC
rnacentral:rRNA from 1 species